AUCCAGUUGACGAGUCCCAAAUAGGACGAAAUGCGCACCCUGGAU
rnacentral:hammerhead_ribozyme from 1 species